UCGGAGCCGCUCUGGGUGGCCGGAGCCCAGCCUGGGAGAGACUGUCUCCCCGCCGUCGCCAGGCAGCACAACUGGGCUUCUCUGGGGUAGCAGUGGAAACCAGUGCUAUUUUCUACCUUGAGGCGAGCCUCGCAAUUAAGAGCGACACUCUAGGUCACAACCAAGGUCAAAGGAAACCUGCCCAACGCCUCUACCAGCCCCUUUCUGGGGGGACCUGCUGCUGUGUUGGAGGGGGUCUCUAGGAAAAAGAUCGAUUUCCCCUGAAAGAUGCACAAAGUUUUGACCCCUAUAUGGGGUCCGUCCUGCGGGAAAGCGUGACUGUUUAGGGGCCGGAUCGUGGCUCAGACCUUCAGAAGCUGUUGACCACGAUGGGCUGCAGGGGUCAAGGGAAAAUAUUUUCCAAGCUCCUUUGUUAAAAGAGAAUAAAAGGUGGCUAAUUGUGGCUAUUUGUGGGUGGGUCGAUACGGACAGUAUUUUCAAUGCUUGAUCUCAUCAGGCUAGAGAAUAAAACAAGGCGGCUAACUGACCUCUUUACACUGGUUCAGAAUCACCGAGGAUGGUUUAGGAACAUUGGCAUUUUAACAGCCUAUAAGAGAGACAGCUUUUUAAUGGUAAUAUGUCCCAUCUUGAUGGUCAUUGCUGAGAGACCUAGUCCAUAUUUUGGAAAGGAUAUUUCCAAGAGCAGAAUCAUAAGCAGUAGCAACCGGGGUGUUUUGCCUUAAUAUACCCCAGUCCCAGCUCCCCCCAAUUAUCCUAAAUACAAGACAUCCAGCUUUCAUACAUAAUCACAUCUAAACUUUUCUCAUCAACAUUUCCAUAGAAACCAAUCUCUCCCAUCUCCUAUCUGCCCCCCUUCUCACCUCUGCCUCCAAAUUUUCUCUAAUUGGGGUGCUAAGUAAUGGUUUAAAAGCAAAAUGCUGGUGUUGGGGGGAAAAAAAUUCACAAAAGCUAGUAAGGUCUUAAAAUGCUCAUUCCUUGGCGUUCCCCAUGUCUGAAUCUGUUUUGUUUCUGUGCCCCUGUGGCCUGUUCCCCACACCCCUCAGGAAGGAGUCAAGCCGUUAGCUGAAGAGUUUAGAUCCAGACACGGGACUGGAUGGCUGCCUGAGAUGCCAGAUGCCUUCAGGUGGGAAUAUGAUGUGCAUGUAAGCUGAGGUCAGCUCCAGGCCACAGCAGAAGCGAAGGACACAUACAUGUCCCCCAGGCUCUCUACCGUAUGACCGUCUCAGAAAAUGUAAGCCUUUGUAAACUCUGUGUAGCCAGCUCCCCAGAGAAGCACAUCAUCUGAUUACACAGCCACCUCCAUGGAUUAUUCUUAUUCUUCCACAUCACAAGGAGUCCUGGACCAGAAAAAAAAAAAAAAAAAGAACCACCUGUGGGCAAUGAAUUAGACAUUAACAAAUCAGGAUAAAGUUAUACCUCCCACCACCAUCAUAACCAGUCCGCAAUUUAUACACCCAAGCACGAACGAGUAGAUCUAACCAUUUUUUCCUCCAAAGCUUCCUUUUACAUACACAAGAGAUCUGAAUUCAUUUUCUUUGGAAACUAGAACGAUGAAUUUCUUGAAUUGUCAACAGUAAUUUUGUAUGAGCUUUGCUUUAAACAUUGUUUUGGUUUUGCCUUGAGCUCGGGUAUUUAUAAUUUUGCCUGUCUUGUCCCAACCCUGUUUCACAUUCAUUAUCUGGAAAUCUAUCAGGCCAAAUAGUUACAUGUCCAUGUCUUCUUUAACAAGCCAGUCACAGAAAGUAGAAAAACCCCAAGAUACAAAACCCAGGAACCCUGGGACUAAUUUCCUCAUUUCACUCCUUGAAUUAAAACCAAAAGUUUUUAAAAUGACCUUUCAUAAGUUUAUAUCUGCCUGCCUGCAAUGCAGGAGAGCCAGGUUCGAUCCCUGGGUCAGGAAGAUCCCCUAGAGAAGGAAAUGGCAACCCACUCCAGUACUCUUGCCUGGAGAAUCCCAUGGACAGAGGAGCCUGGCAGGCUACAGUCCAUGCAGUCGGAAGAGUUGGACACGACUUGGUGACUAAACCACCAUAGUUUCAUCAUUUAAUGGGGCAGGGAGAGUACUUAUAGAAUGUCCUGUUUUUUUAUUUUUAUUUUUUAUAGUGGAGAGUCUUCUUUGAGUGAAAAUCGUGGGUAUAAAUUGCUGUUAAAUUGGCAUUCUCAAACAACCGUAAAUGAUUCACCCACCUUCCUUUUUCUGGUGAUAACAGUGAGUUUUCUGUUCUGUGAAUGACACCUGAAUGACUUGACCUGCGGAUGUUCUGGGAUAAUAUUUUUGAAACUAAAUUAGCCAUUUGUACAGUUGACUGAUCUGAAUGAAACUACCAAUUUUCUGUAAUUUGAAAGUGUGACUGAACUCUUAUAAAUCUUUUCAUCUCCUAAAAGGCUCUGAAAAUUACACUUCCAAAAGCAGUUGAAGUGAAGUGAGUGAAAGUCGCUCAUUCGUGUCCGACUCUUUGCGACCCCAUGGACGAUACAGUCCAUGGAAUUCUCCAGGCUGGAAUACUGGAGUGGGUAGCCUUUCCCUUCUCUAGGGGAUCUUCCCAACCCAGGGGCUGAACUGAAGUCUCCCUCAUUGCAGGCGGAUUCUUUACCAGCUGAGCCGCAAGGGAAGCCCUAAAACAGGCAGCAUUUGGAAAAUGUGAACACCGCAAUAUGAUUCACUUUUCAGCACUUUUUCAUCUUGUUUGCACUCAACUUUCUAAACCUGUGCAAACCCAAAUCUGCCUCCAGAACUCAAAAAAAAAAAAAAAAAUCAAAGUGGUUGUUGGAACUAGAGAAAAGGAGAGCUAAAUAUAUCCAGUGAUCUGAGAAAAUUUCAAAACAUGCAUAAAUGUGAGAGUCAAAGAAAGGUGAUCACACCUGCCAAUGGCACGGAAGCCACAGGGCCUCAAAUCCCAGUGUUUCGUGUUUGGGUUAAUGGUUCUCAGUAAGUAACAAGACUGUGUCUGUGUUUGACAUUUUUGUUCUCAAGCCAGUGAUUUCUUUACUGAUGGCUUUCUCUCAGAAGUUAUUAAGGACAUAAAAUGUGAACGAUUGCAAUGCUUAAGGUUAUUUUUUCAUUUAGAAGGUAAAUAGUUGUUUUUAUUAUUGUUUUGAUGCCAAGAGCACCCAAGGAUGGCUAAAGAAACAUUAGCUUGAGCACAGAAAUAUUGGCACAAGGAGUACCUAUAAAUUUCAGAUCUGUGGUUACAGGUCAUAACAGGUUACUGAUACACAGAUUUUCACAGACAUCAUUCAGAAAUGAUUUAGGGACACAUCAAAGAUUCUUUUUUGGAAAUUAAGGCUUAGAAAACUUUGAAUGAUUAUAAAGAAAGUUUCAAUUCUAAAAGAUGAUUUCAGUGAACUGGUAAUUUUUUUCAAAGGCACGUAAAAACUAGAGAAGCCAAUUACAUUAUUUUAGGAUAGUUUGGCAAUAAUUCAUAUGAGGAGGAGGUGGGGGUUUUAAUAGACCACACCUGUGACAUGCCUUAAUUGUGUAAUCAGGCUACUAAGAAUGGGGGAAGGGCCACAGUAUGAGGUUGCAUUACUAGAAAUUCGAGGGGUUAGCAAUCAUGGAAAAAUAGCUCCAGCAUACUCCACACUAGCCUUCACACAACUGAAGGGUUCUCACCAACUCGCAGCAUUAUUUUUUAACAACUGUGGUAAAAUACACAUAAGAUAAAAUUUGCCAACUUAACCAUUUUUAAGUGUACAGUUCAAAAGUGUUCAUUUAAUCCACAUUGUUGUGAAAACAAUCUUCAGGACAUUUUCAUCUUCUCAAACUGAAACUCUGUAUUCAUUAGACAAUUCCCCACCUCUCCCCUCCCUCGACCCCUGUCAGUCACCACUCUACUUUGGGUCCACACAUGUGAUUAUUCUAGGUACCUCACGUAAGUGUGGUCAAACAGCAUUUGUCUUUUUGUGGCUGUCGUUUCAUUUAGCUAAUGUCCCCAAAGUUUAUCCAUGUUGUUGCAUGUCAGAAUUUCCUUCCUUGUAAGGCUGAAUAAUAACCCAUUUGUAUGCAUAUGCUACAUUUUGUUCAUCCAUUCUUCCGUUGAUGGACACUGGGCUGUUGUGAAUAAUGCUGCUAUGAACAUGGGUCUACAAAUAUCUCUUCAGGAUCCUGCUUUCAGUUCUGUUGCGUAUAUGCUGGGCACCGUUUUAAGAGGCACAUCGACCGAUUGGGUCAUGCUCAGAAGGUGGUGAAAGGUCAACAACUGGAGACCUUUAAGGAAAGCAUUUGAAGGACUUGGGAGGGCCUCACUGGGAGAAGAGGGAAGAGGAGGCGUAGCGGCUGUCUGCAGUAUUGGAAAGGCUGCCUUAAGCUGGGGGAGCAGACUUGGGAUGCUGUAAGUGGCAGACUCAGCUUAACAGGUGGAGGUUAUAAGGAAGUUGAUUUUGACUCAGCAGAAAGACAGACUGUUUCCAUAAAAGCUCUUCCUCAGUGUAACAGGCUGCCUUGGAGGCAGUGAGUACCUACUCUUGAAGGUAAUCAGACAGGCUGCUGGGACCACUUGUCAGCAGCAGGAGAGACGGAGGUUCCUCAUCCUGGGUGAGAUGUUGAACUAGGUGGUUUCCUAGGAACCUCAUAUCUAUGAGGCAAUGCCUAAGUAAAUGGGCAGGGUGGGAAUUCAGGUCUCUACCCACAAAGAGAAUCUAGGAGCCAGUUUUAGACAAAUAUGAUGUUGAUCCCACUGAUUGGGGAUCAGCAGAGCCUGGUGUGCAUGGGUGAGAAUAACAUGGACUUAUCUGCUUUCCUGAACUGACUUGUUGAAACUCAGUGACACUCAUGUUUACCUAAUGGCUGCAGCAAAUAAAUCAAGUAUAAAUGUCACAGAGUUGGUCAUCUUAGCCCUGGUCUGUUACCUUCAUCUCUCCCUUGCUCCUCUGUAUACCGUCUUGAGGCCAGCAGCAGUGGCUCCGCCUGGAAGCUGGAGAGAAAGUCAGAUUCUCUGGCCCUCACCCCAGAUCAUCCGAAUCAGAAUCUGCCAUUUCACAAGAUCCCCAGGUGAUUCAUACGCAGGCUAAGGUCUCAUCCACACUGAAUAUAGAGACAGUCUAUGCGUUAGUUAAGCAGAAGUUAUCAGAGGUUCUUCCCAAUGGCUGUGGCCAUAUCGUGUCACUGGGUUGGUUACUCAAAUCUACAUUUUGGGGGUAGAUCUCAUCACUCAUGAGCUCCGUGUCAUAAUGGGAAUUUCUUACAUUGAUUUUUUCCAACUAUACAUUUAUACACCAGCCUAGUCUUUAAAAAAAGAUUUCAAGUGACUUUCAGGUAAAAUAUAUGAACAAAUAAAUAUCAGGACCAGGGAAAAUGGAGCUUGAAGGUAGAUCUUAACCAGCGAGGAAAAAUAAUAAAGGAAGACAGGUCAGGCACGACUACCUGAGUGGAGAAUUGGAUGAUAAGCUUGCCUGCGGCCAGAGUGAUCAAGAAAAACAGACAGCUGCAAGAUUAUCUGCGGAGUGCCAAUAGGCUGGUCCCUCAGAUGCAGCAAAGCUUUCCCUGGUAUUUUGUGGUGCAAGACACCCACAUUUAUGAAGGUGCAUGGCUGUGGAAAUACAGGGGGACUUGGGUCUUAUAUUCAUGGAACUCUGAAAAUACAACUGUUUCUCAGAAUGAAACACUUGGAAGUUGAGGCCUGACACAAAGAACUGCCCUGAGAAGGGUGCGGGGGCGGGCAGGAGAGGGCGAUCCCUUGGUCCCAGGGUACAUCGUUCUGAGAGUUAUGCUAGUCCAAAGAUGAUGUCCAACUGUCUAGCAUGGCGGCUUUUUUGUUUCUUGUUUUUUACAUACUGCUCAGCGACUAUUACUGAAUGACUGAAUAAAUUCUCAUGUGUGGGAAAUGAUUACAGAUUAAAAUCCUAGCAAUUUAAUUGUUCUUGUUCAAAAAAUGUUUCACAAAUUGCCCUGCCCAAAGAUUGACCCAGUGUAAGUUCUAACAAUACAGUCUGAGAUCUCUGAUCUUCUGGUUUACAUG